GUUACGGUGACCUAGUGGUUAGAGCGUCCGCCUCAGAUGUAGGAGGUCGCGGGUUUAAAUCCCGGUCGAGUCAUACA